GGUUAAGCGACUAAGCGUACACGGUGGAUGCCCUGGCAGUCAGAGGCGAUGAAGGACGUGCUAAUCUGCGAAAAGCGUCGGUAAGGUGAUAUGAACCGUUAUAGCCGGCGAUGUCCGAAUGGGGAAACCCAGUGCAAUUCGUUGCACUAUCGUUAACUGAAUACAUAGGUUAACGAGGCGAACCGGGGGAACUGAAACAUCUAAGUACCCCGAGGAAAAGAAAUCAACCGAGAUUCCCCCAGUAGCGGCGAGCGAACGGGGAGCAGCCCAGAGUCUGAAUCAGCUUGUGUGUUAGUGGAACGGUCUGGAAAGUCCGACGGUACAGGGUGAUAGUCCCGUACACCAAAAUGCACAGGUUGUGAACUCGAAGAGUAGGGCGGGACACGUGGUAUCCUGUCUGAAUAUGGGGGGACCAUCCUCCAAGGCUAAAUACUCCUGACUGACCGAUAGUGAACCAGUACCGUGAGGGAAAGGCGAAAAGAACCCCGGCGAGGGGAGUGAAAAAGAACCUGAAACCGUGUACGUACAAGCAGUGGGAGCACCUUCGGGUGUGACUGCGUACCUUUUGUAUAAUGGGUCAGCGACUUAUAUUCUGUAGCAAGGUUAACCGUAUAGGGGAGCCGCAGGGAAACCGAGUCUUAACUGGGCGUUAAGUUGCAGGGUAUAGACCCGAAACCCGGUGAUCUAGCCAUGGGCAGGUUGAAGGUUGGGUAACACUAACUGGAGGACCGAACCGACUAAUGUUGAAAAAUUAGCGGAUGACUUGUGGCUGGGGGUGAAAGGCCAAUCAAACCGGGAGAUAGCUGGUUCUCCCCGAAAGCUAUUUAGGUAGCGCCUCGUGAACUCAUCUUCGGGGGUAGAGCACUGUUUCGGCUAGGGGGUCAUCCCGACUUACCAACCCGAUGCAAACUACGAAUACCGAAGAAUGUUAUCACGGGAGACACACGGCGGGUGCUAACGUCCGUCGUGAAGAGGGAAACAACCCAGACCGCCAGCUAAGGUCCCAAAGUCAUGGUUAAGUGGGAAACGAUGUGGGAAGGCACAGACAGCCAGGAUGUUGGCUUAGAAGCAGCCAUCAUUUAAAGAAAGCGUAAUAGCUCACUGGUCGAGUCGGCCUGCGCGGAAGAUGUAACGGGGCUAAACCAUGCACCGAAGCUGCGGCAGCGACACUAUGUGUUGUUGGGUAGGGGAGCGUUCUGUAAGCCUGCGAAGGUGUGCUGUGAGGCAUGCUGGAGGUAUCAGAAGUGCGAAUGCUGACAUAAGUAACGAUAAAGCGGGUGAAAAGCCCGCUCGCCGGAAGACCAAGGGUUCCUGUCCAACGUUAAUCGGGGCAGGGUGAGUCGACCCCUAAGGCGAGGCCGAAAGGCGUAGUCGAUGGGAAACAGGUUAAUAUUCCUGUACUUGGUGUUACUGCGAAGGGGGGACGGAGAAGGCUAUGUUAGCCGGGCGACGGUUGUCCCGGUUUAAGCAUGUAGGCUGGUUAUCCAGGCAAAUCCGGAUAAUCAAGGCUGAGGUGUGAUGACGAGGCACUACGGUGCUGAAGUAACAAAUGCCCUGCUUCCAGGAAAAGCCUCUAAGCAUCAGGUAACAUCAAAUCGUACCCCAAACCGACACAGGUGGUCAGGUAGAGAAUACCAAGGCGCUUGAGAGAACUCGGGUGAAGGAACUAGGCAAAAUGGUGCCGUAACUUCGGGAGAAGGCACGCUGGUGUGUAGGUGAAGUCCCUGCGGAUGGAGCUGAGACCAGUCGAAGAUACCAGCUGGCUGCAACUGUUUAUUAAAAACACAGCACUGUGCAAACACGAAAGUGGACGUAUACGGUGUGACGCCUGCCCGGUGCCGGAAGGUUAAUUGAUGGGGUUAUCCGUAAGGAGAAGCUCUUGAUCGAAGCCCCGGUAAACGGCGGCCGUAACUAUAACGGUCCUAAGGUAGCGAAAUUCCUUGUCGGGUAAGUUCCGACCUGCACGAAUGGCGUAAUGAUGGCCAGGCUGUCUCCACCCGAGACUCAGUGAAAUUGAACUCGCUGUGAAGAUGCAGUGUACCCGCGGCAAGACGGAAAGACCCCGUGAACCUUUACUAUAGCUUGACACUGAACAUUGAGCCUUGAUGUGUAGGAUAGGUGGGAGGCUUUGAAGCGUGGACGCCAGUCUGCGUGGAGCCAACCUUGAAAUACCACCCUUUAAUGUUUGAUGUUCUAACGUUGGCCCCUUACCGGGGUUGCGGACAGUGUCUGGUGGGUAGUUUGACUGGGGCGGUCUCCUCCCAAAGCGUAACGGAGGAGCACGAAGGUUAGCUAAUCCUGGUCGGACAUCAGGAGGUUAGUGCAAUGGCAUAAGCUAGCUUGACUGCGAGCGUGACGGCGCGAGCAGGUGCGAAAGCAGGUCAUAGUGAUCCGGUGGUUCUGAAUGGAAGGGCCAUCGCUCAACGGAUAAAAGGUACUCCGGGGAUAACAGGCUGAUACCGCCCAAGAGUUCAUAUCGACGGCGGUGUUUGGCACCUCGAUGUCGGCUCAUCACAUCCUGGGGCUGAAGUAGGUCCCAAGGGUAUGGCUGUUCGCCAUUUAAAGUGGUACGCGAGCUGGGUUUAGAACGUCGUGAGACAGUUCGGUCCCUAUCUGCCGUGGGCGCUGGAGAAUUGAGGGGGCUGCUCCUAGUACGAGAGGACCGGAGUGGACGCAUCACUGGUGUUCGGGUUGUCAUGCCAAUGGCACUGCCCGGUAGCUAAAUGCGGAAGAGAUAAGUGCUGAAAGCAUCUAAGCACGAAACUUGCCCCGAGAUGAGUUCUCCCUGAGACUUUAAGUCUCCUGAAGGAACGUUAAAGACGAUGACGUUGAUAGGCCGGGUGUGUAAGCGCAGCGAUGCGUUGAGCUAACCGGUACUAAUGAACCGUGAGGCUUAACCUU
rnacentral:rRNA from 1 species